GGAGAGGAAAGUGCCAUAAAACAAUGAGAAAAAGAUCUGGGAUAAUGCGUAUACAUUCUUCUCAACUUUUAUGAAGAAAGAAAUCUUGAGCUGCUUCUUAGUAUGGGUUCUUUGCUUCUGUGGCAAAGCAUCCCACAGUGUGCUUCUGCACUGGGACCUACGUUGCCUCCAACUUAUUGCUGACUUCAGAAGGGCUGAGCUGAAGAUCUUGGUGUAUGGGCACCGAAGAGCUUAGUGAGAAUUCCUCUUACAUAAAUACCAGAAGAAAAACUGCUCAUUCAUUGUAAUUUGAUUACGUAUUUCCUGUUUACUCUCCGGAAUGAUGUGCUUUUCAAUUCAUGUGUUUGUCUAGACUAUACAUUUCUUGAAGUCAGGCAAAAUUGUCUUACUUGUUAUAAUAUUAUGUACACAUUGUGGAGAAAGUGGUUAAUUCAUAUUUAUUGAAUACACAAAUGGGACCAGAUAGUCCAGUUUUUUAAAUUUCCGAAGGCAACUAGCACGGUGGUUUAUAAAUGAAAUCCAUAUUGCACAAUUUGCCUACAUGGAGAGUCCUCUUUCAGUUUACCAGUGAGGGGUAAAAAAAAUCACCACACUAUUUAAAAGCUGCCAGAGCUUAGGGACUCUGUGUCCUGUCUUUGAACUGCUGUUUCCACACAAGAGUGGAAGUGCUUUCUAUUAUUCUAGUAAAAAGGACAUGCUCUGUGGGGCUUCCCAUAAUUGUUCCAAGAGCCAACAAACUGGAUUUCCAAUACCACUUCUCCCAGAAAUCAACAGUGUUUCCUCUCUCACUCUACCUUCCGGUUAAAAAAAAAAAAUAGUUCCUGUUUGUGAUGAACAGAGGUCAGAUAUCUCCGUGGGAAUGAUCGUAAAGAA
rnacentral:lncRNA from 1 species